GACGAACGCUGGCGGCGUGCUUAACACAUGCAAGUCGAACGGAAAGGCCCUGCUUUUGUGGGGUGUUCGAGUGGCGAACGGGUGAGUAACACGUGAGUAACCUGCCCUUGACUUUGGGAUAACUUCAGGAAACUGGGGCUAAUACCGGAUAGGAGCUCCUGCUGCAUGGUGGGGGUUGGAAAGUUUCGGCGGUUGGGGAUGGACUCGCGGCUUAUCAGCUUGUUGGUGGGGUAGUGGCUUACCAAGGCUUUGACGGGUAGCCGGCCUGAGAGGGUGACCGGCCACAUUGGGACUGAGAUACGGCCCAGACUCCUACGGGAGGCAGCAGUGGGGAAUAUUGCACAAUGGGCGGAAGCCUGAUGCAGCAACGCCGCGUGCGGGAUGACGGCCUUCGGGUUGUAAACCGCUUUCGCCUGUGACGAAGCGUGAGUGACGGGAAUGGGUAAAGAAGCACCGGCUAACUACGU
rnacentral:rRNA from 1 species